AUGGUCACUCAUUUCCUACUCUGGUGUUUUAGCUACAUCCUUCCUGCAGUCUGUCUGUGCCUGAGGUUCCCAAGCAUUUGCCAAAGCUUUAUUGAAGUUGAUUUUUGCAUAUGUAAACAAGAAAUGCAGGACUUCCCAAGAAGAAUUUAGGAGUGUUACUUGAGUGAAGAAAAUACCAAGAUGUUUGGUUUGAAGGAUGGCCUGGGAAGAAAACAGUUUCCUUUGCAUCGUGUUAGCAUGCAGCCACUUGAAGUAUUUGCUAUAACUUCCUCGUUCCUCGUUAGAGCUAAUAAAACGUGAAGUUACUGCA
rnacentral:lncRNA from 1 species